AGAGUUUGAUCCUGGCUCAGGACGAACGCUGGCGGCGUGCCUAACACAUGCAAGUCGAACGAGAUCCAUCCGGUAGCAAUACCGGUGAAGAUCUAGUGGCGAACGGGUGAGUAGCACGUGAGCAACCUGCCCCGAAGACCGGGACAACACCGGGAAACCGGUGCUAAUACCGGAUGCCCCCACCGAGCCGCAUGGCCUGG
rnacentral:rRNA from 1 species